rnacentral:rRNA from 1 species
CUAUGCGCCUUGCCAGCCCGCUCAGUCAGAGUUUGAUCCUGGCUCAGGAUGAACGCUGGCGGCGUGCUUAAGACAUGCAAGUCGAACGCAGAUUUUGUAGCAAUACGAAGUCUGAGUGGCGAAUGGGUGCGUAACACGUAGGUGACCUGCCCUGAAGUGGGGAAUAACAGUCCGAAAGGACUGCUAAUACCGCAUGUGGUUCCAGGCGUUAGAGACCUGGACCCAAAGGUCGGCCGUAAGGCUGAUCGCUUCAGGAGGGGCCUGCGGCCCAUCAGUUAGUUGUAGGUAACGGCCUACCAAGACGACGACGGGUAGGGGACCUGAGAGGGUGGCCCCCCACACUGGCACUGACACACGGGCCAG